GCUUGUGCUUAAAAAAACUUCUUCCAUCUGACAGACACAGGUGUGCGAUAGUCCAGCUUGUACUAAUAAAAACGUCUUCCAUCUGACGAACACAGGUGUGCGAUAGUCCAGCUUGUACUAAUAAAAACGUCUUCCAUCUGACGGACACAGGUGUGCGAAAGUCCAGCUUGUUACUAAUAAAAACUUCUUCCAUCUGACAGACAGGUGUGCGAUAGUCCAGCUUGUACU